CUGGAAAGGAAAUAGAGAUGCUAUUGUUCUAAUAGUUCAUUAUGCGAAUAGAAAAACUGAGACACAAAGAAAAAGUAACUUAGCUAAAGCUUUCAGUUAGUACAAAGUCAAAACUAAAACUAAGCUCCCUGAGUUCUUCACAGUGCUAUUUCUAUCACAUUGUGAAACUGAAGCGUCAUCUUCUCUUCCUGAGAAGACCAGUUUGCUAAUGCAAAGAGGGGACAAGACUUUCACAGCCCAAGGAGACUCUACCCAAACGUAAUGACUACACACGUCUGGAGCAGUGCCAGGAGCCAGCCCCAAACAAGAGCUCAUGUGACCAGUCUUCCUAAGUAGAGCUGAGCCUGCUGAUCCAGGGAGAGGUGGGCGGAACAGCUGGAUAUCUGCCUGGCUGAUUACUACGAAGCCCUGCUGUGCUGAACGUUCCCCAUCCCCAAGGAGAAGAGGAGGCCUAAGAGCAGGCAGCUCUGAAGGAAAGAGCAUUUAAGGACCUCAGCGUGAUGUGAUGUGUGGCAUGAUUUCCUUUCCCCAUCCAACCAGUUAGAUAAAUCACACCUUAUCCCAGGAGGAUGAGGAAGAAGCCACCGAAGGAGUGCAAAAGGAGUUUGCCCACUGUUUUGUCAAGAGAGUUGACGGCAUGGAGUUCAGAAAGCAGAUGCACCUUACAGGCUUCCAAAGGUGAUGAAACAACUGGAUUCAACUACUGUGUAAUCAACUGUGGUCAGACAAUUUUCUGCAUCUGCAAUAAGUCCUAUGAUGACUAUUCUAUGCAAAUCGACAGCUAUCAAAUUUCCCACCCAAAGUGUCUGUCCAGCUUUAUCCAAGCCACUUCUAGUCUCAGGCAAGCAUCUCGGAGCCUCCUUUAUCUUCCUGCUAUGACCCACUUGGUCCUUGACCCCUCAGGGCCCUGGUUUUUCUUUUAGAUCAGGCUUUAUUCCUACCCUAGGGAAGAUGAUCGGGCAAAGACAAUCUCAGUUUAUAGCUCUAUUUCAUUUCCAGCAGAUAUUAUGAUAGUUCUGCUCUGUCUCUAUUGAAUAAUCCUGAGUGAUGGUUUUGGAUUUUAAAAGGUUUUAAAGCUUUCCCAAUCGGUUAUAAGUUGUCAAACUCGAAAAAAAAUAUUGAGCUGAACAUAAAACAGAUGAAUGCUCUUAAAACAGAAGAAAAAGCAAUUACAUAACAUUACGUUUUGUAGAAAAUGAGGGAAGACUCUGUAAUGGAGAGUGGAAAAAAUACCUGUGCUUGCAUCGGGUAGAUACAAGUUCAAAUCCUAACUGUGCUUCUUAUUAGUAAUUUGACUUUGGACACUUCCUGGAGCCUCAGUCUCUUGCAUGCACAAUAAAUGUCAUAGAGCCAUUGCA
rnacentral:lncRNA from 1 species